rnacentral:misc_RNA from 1 species
UUCUCCAUUCAACCCGAGUAUCAUAUGUGUAAAUGGGGGCUAUUUUAAGACAAAUAUGUAAUACCUAAAGGUUCAAACAAAUAAAAACGUCAAAGAUCCUGGAAGUGUUAAUAAAAAACUGCUUAGGUAAAAAUAAACUCGCCAAUCCCGAAAUAUUGAAAAUCCCCCGACUACAUACAAACAAACAACCCUGAUGCACGGAUUCAUAGCAGCAAAUCGGGAAUUUUCCUUCCUGCCUGCCGUGGAAAAUUCCAUUCCGCCCCCUAAGAACCGAACUUGCCAAACAACCCCCGUAUACCCUCUCCCGAUCCAGGUUGGCCAAUGGAACGCAUCCCUUGCCAGCUCGGGGAUACCACAACAAAAUUACGUUCAGUCUAUCGCGGUUAUCCGGACCCUCUUCUCGUUCUCGCUUAUCCCGAAUCCCGAUCGAUACUUCAGCGAGCACAUGCUCUCCCUAUCGAUUACCAGGAUAACACAACUAUAUUCCGGAUAAGUGCCCUUCGAGAAGAAAAUGGGAUAAAGGCCUUUUUAUCUCUACAUUACCGAACUCGAUAUAUAUAGAUAUAGAUAUAGAAAGUGUUGAAUUAUGGCCGGAAAAACACCGGAAAUGACCCGGAACGGGCACGAACUGGCCCCGUUAAACAGUCGACCGACGAGCGACAGUGAAAACCGGAAACCGGGAGUGACGAUUGUGCUUCAAGGUCCCCGCGGUUCGGUGAUAUCGAGGGGUUCCCAGGGGAUGAUCGACCCCCAGGGGGAGGACAACGUCGCGUGGUCCGGGAAAAUUCAGUUUUUCCUCACCAUCAUCGGGUACUCGGUCGGUUUGGGGAACAUCUGGCGGUUCCCGUAUUUGUGUCAGCAGAAUGGAGGAGGAGCGUUCCUGAUCCCGUUCGCGGUGAUGUUAAUCCUGGAGGGCAUCCCGCUCUUCCUGAUCGAACUGGGAAUCGGUCAAAAAAUGCGAUUGGGAUCGUUGGGGGUGUGGAACACGAUCCAUCCGUGGCUCGGGGGCAUCGGGAUCUCCAGUUGCCUGGUCACCUUCUUCGUCGUCCUUUACUACAACGUGAUCAUCACCUGGUGCUUUUAUUAUUUGUUUAACAGUUUUCGGUUAGAACUUCCAUGGCAAGAAUGCCCGAAAGACCCCCUGACAAACGCAACUUUACCAGAAUGCGAAAAAUCAUCGGCAACUGCAUAUUUUUGGUAUAGGGUCACCCUGGACGCGAGCCCGUCCAUCCAGGAGCCCGGCAACCCAAAAUGGUGGAUCGUCUUAUGUCUAUUACUGGCCUGGAUAGUGGUAUUCUUUAUUGUAAUGAAAGGAAUCCAGAGUUCCGGCAAGGUGGUGUACUUUACCUCGCUCUUCCCUUACAUCGUGCUCACCAUAUUUUUCAUCGAAGGGCUGACGUUAGAGGGUGCCACCGAGGGGCUUAUGCACAUGCUCAAACCGAAAGUGCACAAGCUGAGAGACCCGAAGGUGUGGCUGGACGCGGCCACUCAGGUUUUCUACUCGUUCGGGUUGGCUUUCGGGUCCCUGGUCGCCUUCGGUUCCUACAAUAACCCGAAAAACAAUUGCGUCCGCGAUGUCGUUUUGGUGUCGGUCUGUAACGCUUUUACCGCCAUCUAUGCGAGCGUCGUUAUUUUCGCCAUUUUGGGCUUUAAGGCGGUCAGCAAGGUGAAGGAGUGCAACGAGAUGCAAAUCAAGUUAGGGAAUGGAUCUCUCAAUUGUUCCUUAGAAAAGGAGUUAGAAGAGGCCGCAGAAGGUACCGGUUUGGCCUUCAUAGUGUUCACGGAAGCGAUAGUGAGACUCCCGUUAUCCCCUUUCUGGGCGAUCCUGUUUUUCGUGAUGCUCCUCUCCUUGGGAAUCGGCUCCCAGAUCGGGAUGCUCGAGGGGAUGCUCUGCACCAUAUUCGAUAUCGAAAUAUUGAAAAGGAUCAGUAAACAGUACAUUACAGGUACUGUCUGUCUAAUUUGCUUCUGUAUCGGACUAAUAUUCACGACCGGUGCGGGCGAGUACUGGCUCAGCAUGUUCGAUUCGUUCGCCGGUACCAUCGGGUUAAUCGUGGUCGCCCUAAUGGAAAUGAUCGCGGUCAUUUACGUGUACGGCCACAAGAAGUUCAGUAACGACAUCUACGAAAUGACCGGAUACAAACCGGGAUGGUACUGGCAAAUCACGUGGCGCUACCUGGCCCCCGGGAUCAUGAUCAUGAUCUUGGGUUCGUCGGUCGUUUCGAUGGUUAUCGAGCAUCCUCAGUAUUCGGCCUGGAGUGCGGAAAGGGGAGUCUCCGAGAAAACCCCGUAUCCAGGGUGGGUGCUGGUUAUAGCAGGCGUGAUGGUACUAGCCGGGAUUUUACCUAUACCCAUAGUAUUCUUGCUGAGGCGGUACCAGAUUCUCAAAAUGGAUAUUAACAUACACGAAGGAUCGAUCAGGCGGAUCGAUACCACCGUAUCGACCAAAGAAAUGAUCACCGACGUAGACCUAGACGAAGAGGACGGCAUGAACUUGUCCAUCUACGAUGACGACUCGUCGUCCUCUGACUACGAAGACAGUAGGCCUCGUCAGCUUAAGCUUAAGGUUGUUAACAAUUAAAGAGAUGUCUUUGCCGUAUUUUCUUCAAUUUUCCGACCCCUUUGGUUGUAUCGUAUAUUGUGAUAAGGAUCGACGAAAUGCCAAAGAAUGAUCUGUUUUUUUUUUUUUUAAGUUCGCAUUUAUUAGUCCGAAAAUGUGAUACUACGAUUUAGGAAAGCCGUUGGAUAAUUUAUGUAUUAGUUAUUAUGAAUAACUGGUUAUUAUUGGUGAUAUUUUAAUUUAUUUAAGUGGUUUAUCGAGUGACUUGUCGUUAUACGUGUUCGAAGCACAGUCAAUUUGUUGUUAAAAGUGCCCGAUAAGGUCAGUUAACAAAGGACAAAUAGAGGCUUUAAUAAAAUUCAAAUUUAUUAAUCGAUUUUUUUUUUAAAUUAUGAUUUUAUAGGAAAGUUGAGAAGUUUCUUUGUAAAUAUAUUCGUUUUCGAGUUUUUGAGGUAGUUGAAAUGAAUAUUGAUAUUAUCAAAGGCUUUACAAAAAUCGAAAUAUUUUGUAAACUUACUGACCGAUUUUUUUGAUUUUGGUGUCAUAUGAAAGCUGAUGAGUUUCUUUACCAAAAAGGUCAUUACAAGUUUCCUUGUAAAUAGAAUCGUUUUAGAGUUAUUGAAUGAUUGAAAAACAUCGUUGAUAUUGUCAAAGACUUCAGAAAAUUCAAAUAUUUUUAAAACUUACUGAUCGAUUUCUUUGAUUUUGGUUUCAUAUGAAAGCUGAUGAAUUUCUUUACCAAAAAGGUCAUUACAAGUUUCCUUGUAAUUACAAUCGUUUUUGAGUUAUUGAGUAGUUUUUGAGGUGGUUUAAAAAGUGUUGAUAUUGUCAAAGGCUUUACAAAAGCCGAAAUAUUAUGAAAACUUACUGACCGAUUUCUUUGAUUUUGGUUUCGUAUUAAAGCUGAUGAGUUUCUUAACCAAAAAGGUCAUUACAAGUUUCCUUGUAAUUACAAUCGUUUUUGAGUUAUUGAGUAGUUUUUGAGGUGGUUUAAAAAGUGUUGAUAUUGUCAAAGGCUUUACAAAAAUCCAAAUAUUUUCAAAACUUAUUGACCGAUUUUUUUGAUUUUGGUUUCAUAUGAAAGCUGAUGAGUUUCUUUAUCAAAAAGGUCAUUACUUGUAAAUACAACCGUUUUCAAGGUAUCGAGUGAUUGAAAAAACCUUGAUAUUGUCAAAGGCUUUAAAAAAUGUAAAACUUAUCGAUUUUUUUGAUUUGGGUUUCAUAUGAAAACCGAUUAAAUUCUUUGCUAAAAAACCAGAUCAGAGUUUCCUUUACAAUCCACUUUUCUUUGUUAACUGACUCAUAUAAGACAUCUCUUCUAGGGUAGUCUUCCACGAAAAGUGGAUGUAUAGUUCGUUCAAAACAUGUUAGCAUUUAAGUAGCCUCGUGUACAUAGUGUAAAAAAAAAUUAUUAAAAAUUAAUAGGUCAUAAAUAUUAAAACAACCAACAAAAAAAAGGAAUUUUACGCUUCAGUUUGUAUUUUUACUAUUAACUACCGACGUUCGUUUUCAAUGUAGUGCCUCUACUACCUAAGUUAAUUAUUAAUUAAAAUACAAGACAAUACUGAUGGUUUAGAUCGAAAUACGGGGUGUCCCGAGUUUCUCUUAAUUGUGGGACGCCCUGUAUAUAUUUAUAUAUAUGUAGCAGUAUAGUACUUAUAUACUGAAAAUUUUAUAUAAAUAUUUUUGUUUUGACAAGUUGUUUAGCAAUAACUUCCAAAAGUAUUAUAGAACAUGUUUUAAUUUUAAGUUAAUUCCUUUAUAGCUCAGUGUAUAUUUGAAUUAAUUUUAAACAAAGUGAGACAAACUCAUUGGAAAAAAUGACGACGUUUCGGCUUCCAGUGGCCAUCGUCAAAUAAAAGUAACGAGUUUCUUAGACACUCUUGAACGGGUUUGUCACACCUUGGACUUGUUGGAGGUACACUAAAAAAAAACCAAUUCAAGACUUGGUUGUUGUUUCCCCUCGGUUGGUUAAUAACGAAAAAAAAAAUAUAUUGUGUAGAAAAGCA